rnacentral:rRNA from 1 species
UUACAAUGAAGAGUUUGAUCCUGGCUCAGGAUGAACGCUAGCUACAGGCUUAACACAUGCAAGUCGAGGGGCAUCAGGAAGAAAGCUUGCUUUCUUUGCUGGCGACCGGCGCACGGGUGAGUAACACGUAUCCAACCUGCCCUUUACUCGGGGAUAGCCUUUCGAAAGAAAGAUUAAUACCCGAUAGCAUAAUGAUUCCGCAUGGUUUCAUUAUUAAAGGAUUCCGGUAAAGGAUGGGGAUGCGUUCCAUUAGGUUGUUGGUGAGGUAACGGCUCACCAAGCCUUCGAUGGAUAGGGGUUCUGAGAGGAAGGUCCCCCACAUUGGAACUGAGACACGGUCCAAACUCCUACGGGAGGCAGCAGUGAGGAAUAUUGGUCAAUGGGCGCUAGCCUGAACCAGCCAAGUAGCGUGAAGGAUGAAGGCUCUAUGGGUCGUAAACUUCUUUUAUAUAAGAAUAAAGUGCAGUAUGUAUACUGUUUUGUAUGUAUUAUAUGAAUAAGGAUCGGCUAACUCCGUGCCAGCAGCCGCGGUAAUACGGAGGAUCCGAGCGUUAUCCGGAUUUAUUGGGUUUAAAGGGAGCGUAGGUGGACUGGUAAGUCAGUUGUGAAAGUUUGCGGCUCAACCGUAAAAUUGCAGUUGAUACUGUCAGUCUUGAGUACAGUAGAGGUGGGCGGAAUUCGUGGUGUAGCGGUGAAAUGCUUAGAUAUCACGAAGAACUCCGAUUGCGAAGGCAGCUCACUGGACUGCAACUGACACUGAUGCUCGAAAGUGUGGGUAUCAAACAGGAUUAGAUACCCUGGUAGUCCACACAGUAAACGAUGAAUACUCGCUGUUUGCGAUAUACAGUAAGCGGCCAAGCGAAAGCAUUAAGUAUUCCACCUGGGGAGUACGCCGGCAACGGUGAAACUCAAAGGAAUUGACGGGGGCCCGCACAAGCGGAGGAACAUGUGGUUUAAUUCGAUGAUACGCGAGGAACCUUACCCGGGCUUAAAUUGCAGUGGAAUGAUGUGGAAACAUGUCAGUGAGCAAUCACCGCUGUGAAGGUGCUGCAUGGUUGUCGUCAGCUCGUGCCGUGAGGUGUCGGCUUAAGUGCCAUAACGAGCGCAACCCUUAUCUUCAGUUACUAACAGGUCAUGCUGAGGACUCUGGAGAGACUGCCGUCGUAAGAUGUGAGGAAGGUGGGGAUGACGUCAAAUCAGCACGGCCCUUACGUCCGGGGCUACACACGUGUUACAAUGGGGGGUACAGAAGGCAGCUAGCGGGUGACCGUAUGCUAAUCCCAAAAUCCUCUCUCAGUUCGGAUCGAAGUCUGCAACCCGACUUCGUGAAGCUGGAUUCGCUAGUAAUCGCGCAUCAGCCACGGCGCGGUGAAUACGUUCCCGGGCCUUGUACACACCGCCCGUCAAGCCAUGGGAGCCGGGGGUACCUGAAGUACGUAACCGCAAGGAUCGUCCUAGGGUAAAACUGGUGACUGGGGCUAAGUCGUAACAAGGUAGCCGUACCGGAAGGUGCGGCUGGAACACCUCCUUUCU